rnacentral:rRNA from 1 species
AUUGAACGCUGGCGGCAGGCUUAACACAUGCAAGUCGAGCGGGGGAAGGUAGCUUGCUACCGGACCUAGCGGCGGACGGGUGAGUAAUGCUUAGGAAUCUGCCUAUUAGUGGGGGACAACAUCUCGAAAGGGAUGCUAAUACCGCAUUCGUCCUACGGGAGAAAGCAGGGGAUCUUCGGACCUUGCGCUAAUAGAUGAGCCUAAGUCGGAUUAGCUAGUUGGUGGGGUAAAGGCCUACCAAGGCGACGAUCUGUAGCGGGUCUGAGAGGAUGAGCCGCCACACUGGGACUGAGACACGGCCCAGACUCCUACGGGAGGCAGCAGUGGGGAAUAUUGGACAAUGGGGGGAACCCUGAUCCAGCCAUGCCGCGUGUGUGAAGAAGGCCUUAUGGUUGUAAAGCACUUUAAGCGAGGAGGAGGCUACUCUAGUUAAUACCUAGGGAUAGUGGACGUUACUCGCAGAAUAAGCACCGGCUAACUCUGUGCCAGCCGCCGCGGUAA